rnacentral:rRNA from 1 species
AGUGAACGCUGGCGGUAGGCCUAACACAUGCAAGUCGAACGGCAGCACAGUAAGAGCUUGCUCUUACGGGUGGCGAGUGGCGGACGGGUGGGGAAUACAUCGGAAUCUACUUUUUCGUGGGGGAUAACGUAGGGAAACUUACGCUAAUACCGCAUACGACCUACGGGUGAAAGCAGGGGAUCUUCGGACCUUGCGCGAUUGAAUGAGCCGAUGUCGGAUUAGCUAGUUGGCGGGGUAAAGGCCCACCAAGGCGACGAUCCGUAGCUGGUCUGAGAGGAUGAUCAGCCACACUGGAACUGAGACACGGUCCAGACUCCUACGGGAGGCAGCAGUGGGGAAUAUUGGACAGUAGGCGCAAGCCUGAUCCAGCCAUACCGCGUGGGUGGAGGAGGCCUUCGGGUUGUAAAGCCCUUUUGUUGGGAAAGAAAAGCAGCAGGUUAAUACCCCGCUGUUCUGACGGUACCCAAAGAAUAAGCACCGGCUAACUUCGUG